rnacentral:rRNA from 1 species
GAUGAACGCUGGCGGCGUGCCUAAUACAUGCAAGUCGAGCGAACGGACGAGAAGCUUGCUUCUCUGAUGUUAGCGGCGGACGGGUGAGUAACACGUGGAUAACCUACCUAUAAGACUGGGAUAACUUCGGGAAACAGGAGCUAAUACCGGAUAAUAUUUUGAACCGCAUGGUUCAAAAGUGAAAGACGGUCUUGCUGUCACUUAUAGAUGGAUCCGCGCUGCAUUAGCUAGUUGGUAAGGUAACGGCUUACCAAGGCAACGAUGCAUAGCCGACCUGAGAGGGUGAUCGGCCACACGUGAACUUAGACACCGUCCAGACUCCUACGGGAGGCAGCAGUAGGGAAUCUUCCGCAAAGGGCGAAAGCCUUACGGAGCACCGCCGCGUGAGUGAUGGAGGGCUUCGGAUCGUAAAACUCUGUUAUUAGGGAAGAACAUAUGUGUAAUUAACUGUGCACAUCUUGACGGUACCUAAUCAGAAAGCCACGGCUAACUACGUG